UCCUCCUGCUGCUGGAGCUUCACGGCAGCCUUGCGGAUUGUGCUAUAGGCUGCUGGAGUAAUUUGUCAUCCACACUGCUUUAGGAAAUGUUCAGAAAACGCUGCACCCACUAGGAAUGUGGCAUUGGUCACACCUGAGGGCCAUCAGUUAAUUGCAGGUAGAGGAUAUAUCUAAGGAGCAGAGCAGACACUGGAGGAGGGACGGACACCGACGCAACAGGAGACAGAGGAGUCCCAGCAGCUGAGAAGAGCUCCAAUGGCACAGAAUGUUGUGGCUGAGGCCACAGGAUUUCAACAUAUGUUCACCUUUCUUUUGAUGAACAGAAAUUGAGACCAUAAGAAAGGGGACAACAUUUGGACCAGGGAUUCACCAAAGGGAAUGACAUGAAAAGGAAAAGACUAGAUGGCUCGUGAAACCCUGUCAUGACCAGCGGAGUGGCCCAUUCAUCUGCUCUAUUUCAGGGCAUUAGUGGUGCAAAGGAUCAACAUUGUCAAGGCUACAAACAAGAACUGUUGUAGACUGCACUGCUGUAGAUUCUUUCAUGUGUCUCGAGGCAUUCUUUUAUGCGGUCGAUUUCAUAAGUGUCUUUUUGUAGGGUCAUUACAACGGCAUCAACAUGAAGUGCAACACUUUAAAGAAACAAAACAAGAAAAUAGUUCAACACUUUAUUUUGAUAUUUCGUAACAAAGAGCUGACAGUGUGUCCUGUGCACAUAUCCUUUGAAAUUACAAGUAAUACGACUAAUAAUAAAGUGCUAGCGCGAUUAAUCACCUGCUACUAAAUCUUGGAGGACUGCUGAUAUUUUAUCUCUGAAUUUUGUAUUGAUUCAGAUCAGACGGUUUGAAGUUGUGGCAUGACCUUUCUUUACAAUUCCCCUGCUUGCGUCUCUCUUAGCAUCUGUGUCUCUCUGCACUAGAAAGGCUCAUUAAUGGUUUCGCAGGUGCCUUUAUUACUAUGUCCCAUCUUUGAACCUAUGAUUGAUUGUUGGCAUCGAGUGAAAUUGGAAAUGCUCCUUGCUGUGAUUGUUUUGUUAAACAACUGCACGGCGUUUAUUAUAAAGGUCAUAUCGCAUUGGUUCCCUGAUCUAAGAAUGUACGAUCACAAUCUACCCUACAAAAUAUAUAUAUAUAUAU